rnacentral:snoRNA from 1 species
AAGACUAUACUUUCAGGGAUCAUUUCUAUAGUUCGUUACUAAAAAAUGUGGACUAAAACAUUAGGGCACGUCAGUGAAGCGAGGCCUUGCAGGACUUUGGUCUGCUUCGCUGACUGA